GUGUCGGUAAUGUAACGGUUAGCAUGGUUGCCUUCUAAGCAGUAGAUCCAGAUUCGACUCCUGACGGAGGCG
rnacentral:tRNA from 1 species